rnacentral:lncRNA from 1 species
CUGGGCACGUCCCCAUGGCUUCUAACUUAUCAGAGGAGGGUAUCAGUCCCAUCUUCACUCAGUUUAGUGUCCAAACAUGAGGCACGCCCUUUAUCAACAGCAAAGGAUUGUUUUCCUGUACACAGUUCACAUUUAUGAAUGGCUUCCUAGGCACUGAGCACUGUGCUUGGUGACUUCAUGUAUCCUUCCAGCUUGUCUUCAUUGCAUAAGGUCUGGCAGAGGAUUUUUGCUUUUCAGAUUGUCACCUCAAAAUUUCCAUUGUCUCCACACAAAAGCUUGCACAUGAAUCUUCGUAGCAGCAUUAUUCAUAACAGCCAAGAAGUAGAAACAGCCCAAAUGUCCAUCUGCAGAUGAACAGAUCGAUAAAAUGUGGUCUAUCCAUACAGUGGAAUAUUAUUUAGCCAUAAAAAGUAUGAAGUCUUGACACAAUGCUACAACAUGGACGAACCUUGUUCAUAAAAGCACUGUGCUAAGGGAAAUAAUCUGAUGGCAAAAGACUACCUAUUGUUAAUUCCAUUUAUAUGAAAUGUCCAGAGUAGGCCAACCUGUAGAGACAGAAGGAAGGUGAGUGGUUGCUUGG